rnacentral:rRNA from 1 species
AUGGACGAGCUCGCCGGCGGCCGCCGCCGCCAUGCCGAUUCGCCGCCUCUCCCGGACGACAUGCUCGCGGAGAUCCUCCUCCUCCUCCCGCCGGAGCCCAUCCACCUCUUCCGCACCUCCUUCGUCUCCAAGCGCUGGCGCGGCCUCGUCCACGACGCUCGAUUCCUCCGCCGCUUCCGCGAGUUCCACGGCGGGACGCCUCCGAUGCUCGGCUUCUUCAACAACCACCCGCGGUCUCCCCUCUUCGUCCCCACCUCCGGCGGCUUCGCGGCCUCCACCGCGGCCAAGAUGUCCCACGACGACUGGUGGGCCCUCCACUGCCGACACGGUCACGCUCUCCUCCAGAACCGCCGCACCGGGGCGAUCCUCGUCUGGGACCUCGUGACCGGCGACCAGCGCCACCUGCCGCUCCCCACGCGGGCCCAAGAGUGGUCGUGCAACGGCGCGGUCCUCUGCGCGGCCGGCCACGCCGACCACGGCGACUGCCGUUCGUGCCCGUUCCUCGUGGCAUAUGUGUUCAGUCGGGAGCGUAAUUCCGUCACCUCUGCCUGCACCUACUCGUCCGAGACCGGCGUCUGGAGUGAGCUCACCUCCAUCGUCCUACCAUUUGCAUCUGUUGAUGUGAAACCGAUGGCUCUGGUUGGGAACACGCUCUACUGCUUGCUGGAUAACUAUAACAUCCUUGAGUUUGAUUUGGAUAACCAUAGGUUGGGUCUAGCUCAGAAGUUCCCACGCGACGCUAUUGGUAGCUAUCACGAUCAUAUUGUCAUCAUGCCGACCGAGGAUGGACGGCUUGGUUUGGCCGGAGUUGAAGGACUCAAUCUCCAUCUGUGGUCACUGAUGGCAAGCAUUGACGGGCUCGUAACAUGGACACAUCAAAGGGUCAUUGAUCUUGAGAAUUUUCUUGCGCCAGAAGUGGUGGCGGCCACAUUUAACUUUUGGGUGGAGCCAAUUGGAUUUGCUGAAGAUGCUGGGGUGAUCUUCAUUUAUGUGCACCCUAGCGUCUAUAUGAUCCAUCUCAAGUCCAUGCAGAUCGAGGAGGUGCCAGAGAAAGGGAACUACAGCAGCAUACUUCCUUACACAAGUUUCUAUGCUCCAGGAAUUACCGCUGGUGGUGGAGACGAUCAAGCUGAACUGUUAAACAGAUGCUGA